rnacentral:rRNA from 1 species
CGAACGCUGGCGGCGUGCUUAACACAUGCAAGUCGAACGGAAAGGCCCUGCUUGCAGGGUGCUCGAGUGGCGAACGGGUGAGUAACACGUGGGUGAUCUGCCCCUUACUUUGGGAUAAGCCUGGGAAACUGGGUCUAAUACUGGAUAGGACCAUGCUGUAGGUGGUGUGGUGGAAAGAUUAGUUUCGGUAAGGGAUGAGCUCGCGGCCUAUCAGCUUGUUGGUGGGGUAAUGGCCUACCAAGGCGUCGACGGGUAGCCGGCCUGAGAGGGUGGACGGCCACAUUGGGACUGAGAUACGGCCCAGACUCCUACGGGAGGCAGCAGAGGGGAAUAUUGCACAAUGGGCGCAAGCCUGAUGCAGCGACGCCGCGUGGGGGAUGACGGCCUUCGGGUUGUAAACUCCUUUCAGCCAUGACGAAGCCCUUGUGGUGACGGUAGUGGUAGAAGAAGCACCGGCUAACUACGUG